GUGCUUUGGCAGCACAUACACUAAAAUCGGAAUGAUACAGAGAAGAUUAGCAUGGCCCCUGUGCAAGGAUGACAUGCAAAUUCAUGAAGUAUUCCAUAUUUUU